CUGUACCUCACAAUCAGCAGCAGACCCUCCCUCCCAGGCCCUCCCACCUCCUGGACAGCAUCCAUUUUACAUUCAUUGUGAAGCUGCAUUCUUAGUGAGCUGUCCAGGAGGUGGGAGGGUCUGGGAGGGAGGGUCUGCUGCUGAUUGGCUGGAAUGU